rnacentral:lncRNA from 1 species
UCACACCUUUCAAACUUGGAUAAAUUAAAUAACCAGACAUUUGAAUUCAUUUAUAGAUUUUAUUUCCUUGGUUAUUGAGCAAUUCACUUUACAUAUACUCAAUGUUUUGUCAUCAUCAAAAAGAGGGAGAUUGUGGAGUGAUUGAUUAUAACCCUAUUUGAUUUUGAUGAGCUCAAAGCAUUUGAGUAUAUCUUUUGUUUACUAAUGAAUUCAAUUGAGUGUUUCAGUAAAAAUCUUG